rnacentral:misc_RNA from 1 species
GAUGAAGAACGUAGUGAAAUGCGAUACUUGGUGUGAAUUGCAGAAUCCCGUGAACCAUCAAGUUUUUGAACGCAAGUUACGCCCGAAGCCAUUAGGCCGAGGGCACGCCUGCCUGGGUGUCACACAUUGUUGCCCCAAUGCCAAUCGCCUCACUUUGUAGGUAUUUGCUUGGGGUGAAUGUUGGCCUCCCGUGAGCUCUGUCUCACGGUUGGUUGAAAAUCGAGUGCAUGGUGUCGGGUGUACCAUGAUGGAUGGUGGUUGAGUGAUGCUCGAGGCCAAUCAUGGGUAACUCCACCAGAAUUGUGCUCGGUGACCCACAUGCGUCCCUUGGAUGCUCCCUAAGGAGACCUCAGGUCAGGCGGGGCUAUCCGCUGAGUUUAAGCAUAUCAAUAAGCGGAGGA